UUCUAGCCCAGAUAGGAACGGCAUCUUUUUAAAAAAUUAAUCUCAUUUAGAGUUAAUUUUUUAAAAAAUAGAGUGGAUAGCUGGAAAUAGC
rnacentral:sRNA from 1 species